rnacentral:rRNA from 1 species
AUUGACCGCUGGCGGCAGGCCUAACACAUGCAAGUCGAACGAGUGGCGGACGGGUGAGUAAUGUCUGGGAAACUGCCUGAUGGAGGGGGAUAACUACUGGAAACGGUAGCUAAUACCGCAUACCAUCAGAUGUGCCCAGAUGGGAUUAGCUAGUUGGUGGGGUAACGGCUCACCAAGGCGACGAUCCCUAGCUGGUCUGAGAGGAGGACCAGCUACACUGGAACGUAGAAACGGGCCAGACGCCGACGGGAGGCAGCAGUGGGGAAUAUUGCACAAGGGGCGCAAGCCUGAUGCAGCCAUGCCGCGUGUAUGAAGAAGGCCGUCGGGUUGUAAAGUACUUUCAGCGGGGAGGCGUUACCCGCAGAAGAAGCACCGGCUAACUCCGUGCCAGCAGCCGCGGUAAUUC